rnacentral:lncRNA from 1 species
AAUCAAGCCUGGGCAAUGGCGGGCGCCCCUCCCCCAGCCUCGCUGCCGCCUUGCAGUUUGAUCUCAGACUGCUGUGCUAGCAAUCAGCGAGACUCCCUGGGCAUAGGACCCUACGAGCCAGGUGCGGGAUAUAAUCUCGUGUUGCACCGUUUUUUAAGCCUGUCGGAAAAGCGCAGUAUUCUGGUGGGAGUGACCCGAUUUUCCAGGUGCCGUCCAUCACUCCUUUCUUUGACUCAGAAAGGGAACUCCCUGACCCCUUGCGCUUCCCAAGUGAGGCAAUGCCUCGCCCUGCUUCGGCUCGCGCACGGUGCACGCACCCACUGACCUGCGCCCACUGUCUGGCACUCCCUAGUGAGAUGAACCCGGUACCUCAGAUGGAAAUGCAGAAAUCACCCGUCUUCUGCGUCGCUCACGCUGGGAGCUGUAGACCGGAGCUGUUCCUAUUCGGCCAUCUUGGCUCCUCCCUCUGAAGAGUCCAACAGAAAAUUUUAAGUACCUGUUUAAAGCAAUUUACAAGAUACUGUGGAGAUUCCCAGCAAUAAAGAAUGUACUAUAGUUAAGCUGGAAUCCAACUCCUGAAUUUCUGGAGCCCUGAAGACCACUUAGUCUUACUCACAAGAAUUGAAUGGAAUGUGAAUCUACACUCAGGUGAAGCCAGGGUAUUUUGAACGUCCCUACAAGACUGAAGCACCACUGGGAAAUAAGUAAUAGAGAUGCCAUCAUUGUGGAGGUCAUAAUGCUUGUCCUGAACACGAGGGGUCUCUAGUGAGGCACCAAUUCAGCUCCUCUUCUGUGGAGAGACUACAUGGGUGCUGAAGAAACAAAGACACAACGCAGCUCCUCUCAAAGGAGUUCAGAGCUUAGCAGGGGAGACAGAACCAUGAAUGCAUAGUUACGCAUCAAUGUGCUGCACGAGCACUGAAGCCCAAGCACAAGCGGCCUGAGUCCCAAAAACAUUUGCUGACUGCUGUUCUAUCUAGGAUAUCAUCAGUGUGUAGAUGAUCAGAGUUCAUGUCAGUGUUCCUACAAGCCAAUGAAGAAAAACAGAGAUCUGUGUUCUGAAUGGAAAAAUUCCUACUGAUGCCACCCACUAGUCUGGAACAAGUCAGUCUCAAACAUAACAACAGACACUGGGGAGCUCUCCAACAAAAGAUCACCUCCCAAAGAACAGGAUGGUGUCGAAGACUGAAUGCCAGCCUGAGGAAACAGAAAUACUACAGAAGCACGCCAGAGCCUGCAGUGUCUCCUCGCUGCCUCUCAAUGAACUGCUAAAAGACCAAGAACUCUGCUGAGAGAUAAGAAGAGGGGAGGGUGUGCUGCAGGUGGUGCUGGGAGGCCCAGACCUUCUCCUGACAUCUGGGGCUGGCUACAGGAAACAGAAACAUCACCCAGGCCUUGGCGCGAGACAGGACAGAGGCAGAUUGUGACUCAGAUCUGCAGGUGGAAAGUGGGCCUUUCGUUUUCUCCUAGGGGUAGAGCAAAGCCAGAGGGCUCAGUCAGAGGAAACCUAAGGCAGUUCAUGAUCCCUUCAACUUUAUACCAUUUCCUCAAAACUGCCUCCAAACAGUGGGCAACUGGAAAGGUGGUCUGACCUCCAGUGAUCACACAGUAUGCAUUAUAACAGAAGGCUGUCACUGUCAAUUGCAUGGCUCCCUCACUAUGCAUUCCUUCUAUCAAUUUACGACAACACACUGUAGUGAGUACCUGCACAUUGCUGGGUAUUUUGGCAGACAUUGAUAGUAGAUGAAUAACACCUGGUACUUGACCUUGAGACGCUCACUGCCUAGUGUGGGGAACCAAUGGUUGCAAUAUAAAGUAUUAACUAGAGGGAUAGAGGACUGCCUGAGGAUCUCUGCACUCAGAGGAAGGGCCAUGAGAUCAGCCAGGACAGUAGGGAGGCAGUGACUCAUGAAAUUAGCAAGUGGUGAGAAGAGGGCAGUAGAUUCAGCGGCUGCUAAAAAAGGUUACUGAACUUUUUGUUUCAUCAAUGCCAAGAAAUUAAUCUGUUUUAGCCUCUUUCAUGGCCUCUGUUUGAAAUUUUUUAACUUUUUUUUUUUUUUUAGAUUUAGGGGUACAAGGACAGUUGUAUUGCAUGAGUAUAUCAUAUAGUGGUGAAGCCUGGGCUUUAAGUGCACCUAUCACCCGAAUAGCGUACAUUGUACCCACUAGGUAGUAUUUCAUUUCUCACCCUUCUUCCACCUUUUGGAAUCUCCAGUGUUUGUUGUUCUACUCUGUAUGCCCAUGUGUACUCAUUGUUUCACUCCCACUUAUAAGUGAGAACAUGUGCUUUUGACUUUCUGUUUCUGAGUUGUUUCACUUAGGAUAAUGCAUGUUCCUGUUUUGAUUCAGUCAAAAUCCUGGGGUCAGCACUGACAAUGUGAUUAACCCCUGUCCUAAAUUCACUGCAGAGGAACUGCUCCCAUAUGACUACUUAUUACCACCCAAGCCAGAAACCACAAAGAUAUUCUGACCUCUCCUCCUUCACUCCCCACCAACUGGUGAGUAAGCUAGUCACCAAGUCUUGAUUCUACUUGCAAACAUCUUUGGAAGGGAUCUCUCACUCCACACAGUCUCUGUCAUUGCCAAGUAUACCCAUUACCUCUGCUCUGUCCUACGGCUCAUCAUUCCUCAUCUACAUGCUGCACCAACCUCCUAACUCCCAUUCCUCCCCCUCCUAGUUCACUGCCAUAGCGUAAUCUUUCUAUAUCACGGAUCAUAUUGUGUCCGAAAUUGGUGGGUUCUUGGCCUCACUUACUUCAAGAAUGAAGCUGCAGACCCUCGUGGUGAGCGUUACAGUUCUUAAAGGUGAUGUGUCUGGAGUUUGUUCCUUCUGAUCAUGUUCGGAGUUUCUUCCUUCUGGUGGGUUCGUGGUCUCGUUGGCUUCAAGAGUGAAGCUGCAAACCUUCAAGGUGAGUGUUACAGCUCUUAAGGCAGCGCAUCUGGAGUUGUUUCUUCCUCC